AAUUAGUUCAGCUGUACUCAUACACCUCUUCACAUGUGUCCUGCUGUCUGGCAUUCGCUGAGACAGCGAACUACCUGGCAGUGACACGGUAAGCCGCUGAGAAGGGCAAACCAGCGACAAAUGCAGAAGACGUAAGCCAUGGUACACUUGCAAGUGAAGAAACUUGAAAGUAGGAGCUACACUACAAUCUCCAGGAACCAGUUCUCUAUAUUCUUGUGGCACUGGAAUGGAGCUUAUGCAGCACCGAAUCGGGAUUACCAACCAGGGCCAGUAUAACGGUUCGAAAUGACAGUUAUGGCCUUUUUCAAGAUUAUGUGCUUUGUCUGGAAAGGCUGAAGGAAACUUGAUCACAAUGACCGGUCCAUGUAUCAGAGAUGUUGCCGCGAAACUAAUGGUCGCUCAGUCGCCAACAAUUUCCGGGCCAUUUAUGGAACACAAAAGUCAUAUUGCUGCUCCCACAAAAGCGCGAUAAUAUAUUCCAACAAGAACUAAAUGUAUGGAGCCCUCACCUUCGCGCCCUACUUUUGAAGGACACAUUACUCUCCCACUUAGAUAAGACUAGGUCUCCCAAGACGUAUUUUCCCUUCAAACCUCCUAACAACAAUUCUGUAUGCAUUACAUCUUUCCCAUGCGUGCUGUAUUUCCCGGCCUUCGCCUGGCUCGCCGUAAUAAUAGGCCUGUUUAGGAAGGGGUACAAUUUAUGAUGCUCUACUUUAUGGAUUUUUUUGAUUCUCCAUUAACUUGUUUGCUCUUUGGCCCAAAUAUUUUCUGGGAUUCAUUUCGUAAGAUGUAAUCAAGGCAUAUAUCUAAAUGUCAU